GGACUACCGGGGUUUCUAAUCCUGUUUGCUACCCAUGCUUUCGUCCCUGAGCGUCAGUAUCGAGCCAGAUAACCGCCUUCGCUACUGGUGUUCUUCAUGAUCUCUACACAUUUCACCGCUACACCAUGAAUUCCAUUAUCCUCUCUCGAACUCAAGACAAGCAGUAUCGAAGGCAAUUUCACGGUUGAGCCGUGAACUUUCACCACCGACUUGCUUGCCCGCCUGCGGACCCUUUACACCCAGUAAUUCCGGACAACGCUUGCACCCUACGUAUUACCGCGGCUGCUGGCAC
rnacentral:rRNA from 1 species